UACGUAGGGGUCGAGCGUUGUCCGGAUUUAUUGGGCGUAAAGAGCGUGUAGGCGGCCUGACAGGUCUGCUGUGAAAACUCGAGGCUCAACCUCGAGAUGUCGGCGGAAACCGUCUGGCUAGAGUCCGGAAGAGGAGAGUGGAAUUCCUGGUGUAGCGGUGAAAUGCGCAGAUAUCAGGAAGAACACCUAUGGCGAAGGCAGCUCUCUGGGACGGUACUGACGCUGAGACGCGAAAGCGUGGGGAGCGAACAGG
rnacentral:rRNA from 1 species